CACGUAGGGACCAAGCGUUGUCCGGAUUCAUUGGGCGUAAAGAGCUCGUAGGCGGCUCAGUAAGUCGGGUGUGAAACCUCCAGGCUCAACCUGGAGACGCCACCCGAUACUGCUGUGGCUAGAGUCCAGUAGGGGAGCGUGGAAUUCCUGGUGUGGCGGUGAAAUGCGCAGAUAUCAGGAGGAACACCAGCGGCGAAGGCGGCGGGCUGGGCUGGCACUGACGCUGAGGAGCGAAAGCGUGGGGAGCGAACAGG
rnacentral:rRNA from 1 species